GGUAUAGACCCGAAACCCGGUGAUCUAGCCAUGGGCAGGUUGAAGGUUGGGUAACACUAACUGGAGGACCGAACCGACUAAUGUUGAAAAAUUAGCGGAUGACUUGUGGCUGGGGGUGAAAGGCCAAUCAAACCGGGAGAUAGCUGGUUCUCCCCGAAAGCUAUUUAGGUAGCGCCUCGUGAACUCAUCUUCGGGGGUAGAGCACUGUUUCGGCUAGGGGGUCAUCCCGAC
rnacentral:rRNA from 1 species